AUCCUGGCUCAGAUUGAACGCUGGCGGCAGGCCUAACACAUGCAAGUCGAGCGGCAGCGACUUAACUGAACCUUCGGGGAACGUUAAGGGCGGCGAGCGGCGGACGGGUGAGUAAUGCCUGGGAAUAUGCCCUGAUGUGGGGGAUAACUAUUGGAAACGAUAGCUAAUACCGCAUAAUCUCUUCGGAGCAAAGAGGGGGACCUUCGGGCCUCUCGCGUCAGGAUUAGCCCAGGUGGGAUUAGCUUGUUGGUGAGGUAAUGGCUCACCAAGGCAACGAUCCCUAGCUGGUCUGAGAGGAUGAUCAGCCACACUGGAACUGAGACACGGUCCAGACUCCUACGGGAGGCAGCAGUGGGGAAUAUUGCACAAUGGGGGAAACCCUGAUGCAGCCAUGCCGCGUGUGUGAAGAAGGCCUUCGGGUUGUAAAGCACUUUCAGUAGGGAGGAAGGUAGUGUAGUACACCUGCACNUAUUGACGUUACCUACAGAAGAAGCACCGUACUCCUGG
rnacentral:rRNA from 1 species